CCUUGGUGGAGAUGACGUGCGGUCUGGGGUCCCGAUCUCUUGCCGAUCGCAUCACCACUGAUUGCCGCUGUCUCGGCGAUCUGGUCAACCACGCCACCCGACAUGGUGAGUCCAGCAAAAGAAGGACCGAGCCCCCAACAUACUCAAGAUCAUUGCAUCGAUAUGUUUUCAUUACAUAGUAGGUCCCCUGCAAUGGAUGGUCGUCACCCACUUGGAGACAUCACAAACACUUGCAACCAUUGUAAGUGACCAAAUCGUGAAGGAUCUAAUAUCCAAGAGAACAACCAUGGUGUUACCACUGUGUAUAUAUGCAAGCUUGCUAGCAGAAAAAAAAACAGAGCUUAAUAGUAAGAGGAGGAAAGCCUGCCAUUUAAAAAAAAUGCCGAGAGUGCAGUUACUAACAAUAGUAUCAAACCACCAGGUACCUUGUCCUUCCAAUAAACUUGCAAAUAUGUCAGGAUAAGAAGCCGCUGACUCAAAUGUCUUUACUGUAGGUGUGACAUCCUUGCUGAACCAAACAAAUACAGAAAA